UGUUCUGUGGCUUAGCUGAUUAAAGCACCGAUCUAACGAAUACGGAGUCGUCGGUUCAAUUCCUACCAUAACGU
rnacentral:tRNA from 1 species